GGCCAGACUCCUACGGGAGGCAGCAGUGAGGAAUAUUGGUCAAUGGACGCAAGUCUGAACCAGCCAUGCCGCGUGCAGGAUGACGGCUCUAUGAGUUGUAAACUGCUUUUGUACGAGGGUAAACCCCGAUACGUGUAUCGGGUUGAAAGUAUCGUACGAAUAAGGAUCGGCUAACUCCGUGCCAGCAGCCGCGGUAAUACGGAGGAUCCGAGCGUUAUCCGGAUUUAUUGGGUUUAAAGGGUGCGUAGGCGGAUCGUUAAGUCAGUGGUAAAAUGGGGGGGCUCACCCCCUUCCCGCCAUUGAAACUGGCGAUCUUGAGUGGAAGAGAAGUAUGCGGAAUGCGUGGUGUAGCGGUGAAAUGCAUAGAUAUCACGCAGAACCCCGAUUGCGAAGGCAGCAUGCCGGCUUCCGACUGACGCUGAAGCACGAAAGCGUGGGGAUCGAACAGGAUUAGAUACCCGAGUACC
rnacentral:rRNA from 1 species